rnacentral:rRNA from 1 species
CGGACGGGUGAGUAAUGCCUAGGAAUCUGCCUGGUAGUGGGGGACAACGUUUCGAAAGGAACGCUAAUACCGCAUACGUCCUACGGGAGAAAGCAGGGGACCUUCGGGCCUUGCGCUAUCAGAUGAGCCUAGGUCGGAUUAGCUAGUUGGUGAGGUAAUGGCUCACCAAGGCGACGAUCCGUAACUGGUCUGAGAGGAUGAUCAGUCACACUGGAACUGAGACACGGUCCAGACUCCUACGGGAGGCAGCAGUU